rnacentral:RNase_P_RNA from 1 species
CCAGACGGCCGGGCGGUCGCGGCGUGGACCUUCCGUCCGCGUCGAGGAAAGUCCGGGCUCCACGGUGAAAAGGCGGCGGGUAAUGCCCGCCCGGGGUGACCCGAGGGAUAGCGCCACAGAAAGCAAACCUCCGGCCCUGCGGGACCGGUAAGGGUGAAAGGGUGGGGUAAGAGCCCACCGCGUCGGCGGCAACGUCGGCGGCAUGGCAAGCCCCGCCUGGAGCAAGACCGAAUAGGGAUGUCGCGCGCGGGCUCGCCCGUGCCGGGCUCACCGCCCGAGGCAUCCGGGUAGGUCGCGAGAACCGGUCAGCAAUGGCCGGUCCAGAGGAAUGAUCGUCGCUGCUCUUCGGAGCGGAACAGAACCCGGCUUACAGGCCGUCUGGCAUU